rnacentral:rRNA from 1 species
AGUGAACGCUGGCGGCAGGCCUAACACAUGCAAGUCGAACGGUAGCACAGAGGAGCUUGCUCCUUGGGUGACGAGUGGCGGACGGGUGAGGGAUACAUCGGAAUCUACCCUGUCGUGGGGGAUAACGUAGGGAAACUUACGCUAAUACCGCAUACGAACUGAGGUUGAAAGCAGGGGACCGCAAGGCCUUGCGCGAUUGGAUGAGCCGAUGUCUGAUUAGCUAGUUGGUGGGGUAAAGGCCUACCAAGGCGACGAUCAGUAGCUGAUCUGAGAGGACGAGCAGCCACAAUGGGAAUGAGACACGGCCCAGACUCCUACGGGAGGCAGCAGUGGGGAAUUUUGGACAAUGGGCGAAGGCCUGAUCCAGCAAUGCCGCGUGUGUGAAGAAGGCCUUCGGGUUGUAAAGCACUUUUGUCCGGAAAGAAAUGGCUCUGGUUAAUACCUGGGGUCGAUGACGGUACCGGAAGAAUAAGGACCGGCUAACUACGUGCCAGCCGCCGCCGUAACAC